GAAAUGGACAUCGAACAUAGGACAACGAUGUGAUUGACGAAACGACCUGAUGCAAUUCUACAAAGUAUAACGAAAUUCCUAUUCACACGCAUACGUUUAUUAGCCUAUAUAUUGACGUAUUAGCUGUCAUUAGAGCGUGCAAUUUUUUCCCCUUUUUAUACAGGGUCCUUUGGAGAGAAUGGUUAAAUCGCGAGAAAUAUGCAAUACAUUCGGUUGGUGAUGCUAUGUCAUUCAUCGUUAGUGUGCCGUGUUACGAGUCGUGAUACCUCUUCCACCAGUUGAAACAUUGAUCUUCUUCAUGUAUUAAAAUGUCAUCUGAGGGAAAUGCAACGGAUUUUGAGAACGCAUCGAAUUCUGCCGAUGCAUCCAAUGAAACUCAGACCUGCGUCUGAUCAGAAUGAACUGAGACAACAUCUACCGAUGGUGCGAAGCAUGCAAACAACGACUAGCCGUCUUUCUUGCUGCUCAAAUUAUAUUUAAAAAUGCGUUUAGUUAAAGUUAAAUUCAUGCGGUUUUUUAAUGUGUCCGCCUUUUUCUGUUAUAUUCACUAUUGCCAUCAACCAAUGAACAAAUGCGAGAAAUGUAAUCUUAUCAGAUGCAUGAUAUAUUUACACAACAUUCGUUGAAUACUACACAGUACACCCAUAUGUAUUAGUUCGACAUUCGCUCGAUUUGUGAAAACGCGUACAAUGUACGGCGUACGCACUUAUUCUGAAUGCUAAUUAUAGAACAGUUGUUCGGGACAACCGACUGUUGUAUGCACAACACAACCACACGGAUUACACAAUAAGCGAUUUGAACACGUCGUGCCUAUGAGUGUAUUUGAUCGGGUUUUCAUUCGUUCAAUUUUAUCUACACGAUCAAAUAACACGCAAUACUCCCACUAUGUCACAGAUUACAAAUGAAUGAAGAAAAUGAAGUGGGUAAUACACACAUGUUUCGUAGCCACACACUUCAACUUGCUGACAAUGGCUUACAGUGUUGCUUGCAUCAUUUAGACAUAUCAUUUUUCGUAUGUGCUCAGCAUAGGCGUGACGAUGAGUUGUUUGCAUCAAUUCGGUUUCAAGAAGAUAGUCAGUGAUUAGAAAAUGUUGUUAGAUUUAAAAAUCGGAUCAAUAAACCACAAUGUAGUAUCCGACAUACUUUGAAUAUUUUCGUAAAGAUCUCAAAAAUGUCAUAAAAAACAAUUUGAGUUCUACUGCACCGUCUUUGGGAAAGUAAAAAAAGCGUACAAAUUGAUUGCUUCACCUUAGUUUGCUUCACUUCCAAAUUGCCAUAUAAACUGCUAUUUGAUUCGCUUGUUCGCUAUAGCCUGCUUGGCUCAUUUUACUCUGUUACGAUCGCACGUGAACAGAACGCGUCAUAUUACGUUUCAUUUUCUCCCCGCUGCUAUGCUGUAACACAUUCUUUCAUUUUUUGUGUGUGCUUAAAUUUGGGUUUUGUCCCGACCCUUGGAAAUUGAAGCACGGAUAACAAGACCGAAGAAGAGUCACAAAAACAACAAUGGGAACGACCCAUAUUGGUGAAAUUAAAGAUGGAAUUAGUAAACAUGAUCAAGCUCAUACCUGUACGUGUGCGGUAAACCAAGAAACAUCCGUUUAGCACCUUUUUUUACUUCUUCUUCUCUCUUAUUCUUCUUUAUGGUUUGUGCUUCUUCCACAUUCGUAUUGUUGUUACGCUACUUAAUCAACAGAACAUUGAGUGUGAUCAGUUCAUUUGACUCAAAUGCAGCUAUUAAUUAGCAUUUUAUUGGACAUAAUGUUGAGUGGGGUCAGUGCAUCGAUUUGAUGUGCGAUAUUUUGAAUAAAUUGCGUGACGAAGCACAAAUCGAAUUAUACAAUUCGCAUAUGUAUAUAAAGUGCUAAUUUGCCGUACAAAUUCGGCAAAAAUAAGACGAUAAAAAGACCGCAGUGUUUUACUUUCCCAUAUAAUUUGUCGGUUUAGUUGCAGCAGAGAAUGCUUGCGGUCAGUAUUGAAAUGGUUGCGAUAAAAGACGAUACUUUUCAAUUGGUUGCAACAAAAAAGUGGACUGUUUAUUGCAUAGAGAGAGGGGGAGAGAGAAAAAAAAGAAUGCAACCACCGUAAUGAAUUUCGGCCAACCGCGAACCACUAAAAUUCGUUUCGUUUAAAAGCUAAAAAUACUACCUGCUGAUUUGGGCAAAAAUUACUUGAAGUUUGUAAAAAGAUUAGCCAAUUAGUUUAGUUUUUCUACUGUUUGAACUUACCUAGCACAUUUCACCUUUUUCGUACUAGAAGGAAUGAACAGAAAUCAAAAACUAGUAAAAACCCACCUACCUGAGGCAAAAUAUGAAUGAUUUGAAUUUCUAAGAAAAUAAUAGGUAAACAAGAGAUACACCAUUGGUUUAAC